CUCCGGGCAGAGCGCGUGUGGCCGCCGAGCACAUGGGCCUGCGGGCCGGGCGGGCUCGGGGCGGCCGGGACGAGGAGGGGCGACGAGGAGCUGCGAGCAAAGAUGUGCCCCGGAACCCCCGGCACCUUCCAGUGGAUUUCCUUGCGGAAAGGAUGUUGGCGGUCCCUCUGACCUGUGGAGACACGGCCAGAUCUGCCCUCCAGACCAUAGCUGUCUGCAGUGCAGGAAGCCAACUGUUAAGGGGAAACAAAAGUGUUCUUAGGAGUCCUGCUGUCAUUGUGGAUUGAGAUGGUGAAGCCCAGAGGGAUUUCAUCGUAGAGGUGGAUGGAGAAGCAGCUGGGGUCCUUGGCUGUAAGGACCCCUAAGGGCCUGAUCUUUUGGCCAGAAGGAGAUUAAAAGGAUGCCCCUCAAGAUGGCUGUGCCUGUCAGCUGCAUGGAGCUUCGUUCAAGUAUUUUCUGAGCCUGAUGGAUUUACAGUGAUCUUCAGUGGUUUGGGGAAUAACGCUGGUGGAACCAUGCACUGGAAUGACACACGUCCGGCACAUUUCAGGAUACUAAAAGUGGUUUUAAAGGAGGCCCUGGCUGAAUGCCUCAUGGAUUCUUACAGCUUGGAUGUCCAUGGGGGACGAAGGACCGCAGCUGGCUGUGAGGGUUGAGAUCUCUGUUUACUUAGAUCUCUGCCAACUUCCUUUGGGUCUCCCUAUGGAAUAUAAGACCCCGACUCUUCCUGGUGAAGCAUCUGAUGCACGUUCUA
rnacentral:lncRNA from 1 species